rnacentral:rRNA from 1 species
GGCGAACGUUGGCGGCGUGGAUUAGGCAUGCAAGUCGAGCGAGAACCGUAGCAAUACGGGGACAGCGGCGAAAGGGACAGUAAUGUGUAGGUACCUACCCCGAGGUCUGGGAUAGCUGCGGGAAACUGCAGGUAAUACCGGAUAAUGUCUUCGGACCAAAGGUGUGAUUCCACCUUGGGAGGGGCCUGCAUCCUAUUAGCUAGUUGGCGGGGUAAUGGCCCACCAAGGCAACGAUGGGUAGCGGGUGUGAGAGCACGACCCGCGUCAUUGGGACUGAGAUACUGCCCAGACACCGACGGGUGGCUGCGGUCGAGGAUCUUCGGCAAUGGGCGAAAGCCUGACCGAGCGACGCCGCGUGCGGGAUGAAGGCCUUCGGGUUGUAAACCGCUGUCGUAGAGGAGGAAAUGCAGGGGGGUUCUCCCUUCUGUUUGACCUAUUCUAGGAGGAAGGACGGGCUAAGUUCGUGCCAGCCGCCGCGGUAA